rnacentral:rRNA from 1 species
UACAGAGACCUCAAGCGUUAUCCGGAAUCAUUGGGCGUAAAGCGUACCGAUAGGUGGUUUACCAAGUCAGAAGUGAAAUCUCCGAGCUCAACUCGGAAUCUGUCUUUUGAAACUGGUAGACUAGAGGGGCAAAGAGGAAGCUGGAACGAACGGUGUAGUAGUGAAAUGCGCAGAUAUCAGGAGGAACACCGGUGGCGAAGGCGGGUCUCUGGGCCGAUACUGACGCUGAGGAGCGAAAGCGUGGGGAGCGAACAGG